rnacentral:lncRNA from 1 species
CCCCGUUUCCUGUGUAUUAUGCGAGGGCACAAACCAUAUGAUUGCCAAUUGUCCACGGUUGACACCUCUGUCUCCGAAUGAUCGUCAGGUGGAAACAAAGAGGCUCUUAUUAUGCCUCAAUUGCCUACGAAAGGGCCAUCAUGUGAAGGAUUGUAAAUCCGGUCCCUGCCUCAUUUGCCGAUCGAAGCACCACACGCUUUUGCAUUUCAUUCAUCCAACAAAGACUUAUCUAUCUGCUUCUACGAGUAAAGCCUCGCAACAACAGCCAUGUCAUACCGCCAUGGUUGCCAUGUCGUCCUCAUUGCCUCAAGCCCUAAUAUCCCAUAGUCCUCCCAAUGCUGUGCUGUUAGCCACCGUCGUCGUUCUCGUAAAAAACUUCGUUGGAACUUUCGUGCCAUGUCGCGCACUUUUGGACUCAGGAUCACAAUUACAUUUCAUAACUAGUAGUCUAGCUACCGCAGUCUCUGGCAUAGGAGAUGCUAGCUUCUCAACUGAAGGUAUCUCGGUGGAUCUCGUACUAAAAUCGCGGAUUUCAGAUUCCACCACUAUCGUCACUGCCGUUGUUGCCCAGAAGACCACGGACAAUCAACCUAGCAUCCCAAUUAGCGCCGCUAAUUGGAAUAUCUCGUCGAAUAUCCAGCUUGCUAACCCUUCGUUCCAUAAGCUGUUCUUCGAGUUACAAUGUGUGGGACAAAUUCAGCUGGCGCCUGCACUUCCGUCGCUGCAGAAGACACAUCUCGGUUGGAUCAUAUCUGGUGGCGGACAUUUUGCCCCCAAGGUUUUCGUUUCUCACAGCGCAAUCUUCGGAUAGCGGGCACUCUAGCGGGAAAUCGCCCCCCAACAUAUCUUCGUUAAAUUCAGGCCAAUCUUCGGAUUGCGAUCAUUCGGACGGGUAAUCGUCCCCUAACUUAUCGUCGGUUAGAACAGCCCAAUCUUCGGAUAUUGGGCACUCUGGCGGGCAAUCGUCUCCCAACCUAUCGUCGUUUAUCGCCGCACAGUCUUAAUUUUGGGAACUGGAGCACACCUUCGGGCCGAUCGCUAGAGCUGCAAAGGAGGAGAUUCAUUGCGAGUACCAUUUCGUUACUUACACUCGUCUGGUGGAGAGCCCUCGGCCCCCACUCCCCCCUUUCGUUAAAG